rnacentral:lncRNA from 1 species
UCUGAAUGAACUUCCCAUCUUCUGUUCGUGCGGCUGGAGAGAAAAGUUAGGGUUUCCAAGAGGGAGAUCGCUUCUGCUUGUUCCGUGGAGAUCGCCUUCACCGUUUUGGAGAAGCCAUCGAUUAGGCGUCCCCGUGAGUCUCUGCAUACGCAGGCUAUUGCUGCCCUGUUUUCCGGUACUCCUCUGUUCUUGGCCAUGUUUGCUGGUGCGGCUUCUUGCUGUACAAAGGAGGCGUCAAUGUUUGCUCGGAGUGAGUCGGGGGGCGGGGGUUUCCACCGGUGCGUGUGAUCUUCUCGCAGUUUCUCCUUGGCUGUCCUCUUGUUCCAGAUUUCGAAGUUCUCUUGGCGAGCCGCUGAUCUAUAUAGAUUCUGUUUCGGUUGCAGGGCCUUUCCUUCGAAGAUAUAGUGAUUACGGUCUUGCCAUAUACACCACAAGGUUGUUGCGAUUUUGUUAAACUUUGUUGUGCUUUGAGCAUUCUCUUUCUGUAUAUGCAACCAUUCAUCCAACCUUGUUAAACCUAACCUGCUGAUCUUGAUUUGCAGCGAGUUGUCUUGCCAGAUUUUUGCUGUCCAUGGACAUAACAGCAGUGUAUGUUCAAUGGUCUCAGCUUCUUUUUGGCAUAUGGGACAAAGUGGGUCAGGUAAGAUUCUUCUCCGGUAUAAAUUUUCCACUGUAGGUAAUGCGUUUUGGCAUGCGUUCCAGAGGAAUAGCCUUACUUUAGGUAGAAUGUUUGAGCUCCAAAUAUGUUUCCAUAGUCCCGGUUGUAUUUGGUGAGAGGAUGAGGCUUUGUUGGGGUGUGGGGUUGCGGCAUUAUCUCUUGUAGUCAAGUAGCCGCUCUUUACUGUAUAUGCUCCAGAUUUUGUUUGCAUCCAUACUAAUGUAUCUGCUGUUGAGGGUAGGCCAAUAGGUGUAGCUAGAAUCUCCGUCACCCUUGGUUCAUCAAACAUCAUUCGGAUCUUUGUUUCAUUCCACGUGCGACUUCUUUGUUCUAUGAGUUCACCCACUUUCUCUGGCUCGUCUCUCGCCGCCGGACCUCCAAUUAUCCCGCUUCUUAGCCAUUUAUCUUCCCUCACCAUAAUUUUCUGACCAUUACCUACAGACCACAUAACAUUUGGAGAUAUAGAAUCCCUUCCCGCAAUGAUGCUUCGCCAUCCCCACGAGGGUCUUGUUCCUAUUCCAGCAUUCCAGAAAUCGCACUUUGGGUAAUAUAGACCCUUCAUUAAUCUACUCAAUAAAGAGUUAGGUCGCUGCGAAACCCUCCAUGCUUGCUUUCCUAGCAUUGCCACAUUAAAAGCUAGUAAGUCCUUAAAACCAAGCCCUCCUUCAUCUUUCCUAAGCUUCAGAGACUCCCAUUUCUUCCAAUGAAUCCCAGCAGAGUUUUUCCCAUUUUUCCACCAAAAAUUAGCUAUCUUCCUCUCUAUUGCUUUACAUAUAGACACCGGGAUCUUGAAUAUAGACAUUGCGUAUUGAGGAAUAGCCUGCACCACUGAUUUAAUUAGUAUUUCUUUGCCUGCUUUAGUUAGCAAAUUCUCCUUCCAGCUUUCUAAUUUCUUGUUCACUCGAGCCAAAAUCCAAGCAAAAACAUCUUUUUUAGAUCCUCCCCAAUCCGAGGGAAUACCAAGGUACUUCCCUGUUUUUUCUAUUUCUGGGACCCUCAAAUCACACAUGAAAUAUGGGCACAGAAUGUAAUAAGGUAGGCAUUAAUACAAGGUAAAAAUGAAAAACUGAUUUUGUUAAAAAAAAAAAACAUCUUAAGGGCACUUGCCAAUUAAUCAAAAAAGGAUUGUUCUUGGGAUAUUCAUAAUCGAUGCUUUGAAAUAUAAAUAUUUCCUUAUUAUCUAUGUCUAUCAAUUACCUCAUCAACAAGACCCUUUAAUCUUCCGUGUGGAUUCUAGUUCUCGGUAAAGAAGAUGUCCUGCUCAUUUAGUCGUGUUAACUUUAUGCACCAAGAGUGUGAAGGGAAAACCGUCACAAAAGUUCUCAUUAUGUAGCAAUUAUACCAAUUUAGUUCUAAACUUUUCAAUGGCGUCAAUUUAGUCAUAAACCUUUUGAACAAGUGCUAAUUCAGUCCUUCCAAGUAACUUUGACUAGAUAUUGAUAACUUGGACAUUGGUCGGCCGACCUAUGUAGCACGACACGUAGGUUGGCCAGCAUUGAGGUGAACAUGUAUAUUUUAAUAAUUUUAUCUUUUAUCUUUUUUUUUCUCUUUUUUCCAGUCUUUUUAUUCUCGCUCUUUUUUUUUCUUUUUUGUCCUCUUUCCAAUGGCUAGCAUAGGUGAGCAUUGGCCUUGCCAAGGCAAGGACAAGCCUCGGCAAGGCCACCCUCACUAGAUCUGGCAAAGCUAGGCAUUGUUUGGGUGAGAGUUGCCUUGUAGAGCAUAACUUGGGUGAGGGUUGGUCUCGCCGGGCCUCAGCCUCGGCCUCACCUAGGCAAUGCCCAGCAAGGCCAAUAUAGCAAGGUCUUUUACUCAACAUCGAUUUCUUUGUGAUAGCAUUCCAUGAAGGCAUUGGAGUAUCCCCUACUUGAAGAGGUGACUCGACUUUCUCAUAGACCUUUCUAAGAGGAAGACCAAGAACCUCACUAUUGAAGAAAGGAAGGAGUUCGAGAAGGCUUUGAACAAAAUCCAAUCUUUGUCACCUGUCAUCCUUGCUAGAUCUGGAGAGGGCGGCCUCGUCGACACCCUUGCCUCAACGAGACCGAUGCUCAUGUGUACCAACAUAGGGCCACCCUCACUCAGGCAAGGCCAGCCCUCCUUAGCCACCAAAAGACAAUGAAAAAAGAGAGGAAGAAAUAAACAAAAAAAAAUAUUACAAUAUUAUUAAAAAUGUCAACAUUAGUACUGAUCAG